AACGAACGCUGGCGGCAGGCUUAACACAUGCAAGUCGAACGGAACCGUCGUGAUUAUUGGCAGACGGCGGAUUAACGCGUGGGAACUUACCCUUUGCUACGGAAUAACUCAGUGAAACUUGAGCUAAGACCGUAGGGGCUCUACGGGGGAAAGAGUUUUCGGCAAAGGCUCGGCGCGUGUUGGCUUAGCUGGUUGGUGGGGUAAUGGCCUACCAAGGAGUGGAUCCAUAGCUGGUCUGAGAGGAUGCUACGCCACACUGGGAAUGAGACCCGGCCCACACCCCUACGCAGCGCAGCAGUGGGGAAUAUUGGAGGAUGAGCGCAAGCCUGAUACCGCCACGCCGCGUAAGUGAUGAAGGUCUUAGGAUUCUAAAGCUCCUUGACCGGUGACGAUAAUGACGGUAGCGGGAGAAGAAGCCCCGGCUAACUUCGUG
rnacentral:rRNA from 1 species